rnacentral:rRNA from 1 species
AUUGAACGCUGGCGGCAUGCCUUACACAUGCAAGUCGAACGGCAGCACGGGAGCAAUCCUGGUGGCGAGUGGCGAACGGGUGAGUAAUAUAUCGGAACGUGCCCAGUCGUGGGGGAUAACGUAGCGAAAGCUACGCUAAUACCGCAUACGAUCUAUGGAUGAAAGCGGGGGAUCGCAAGACCUCGCGCGAUUGGAGCGGCCGAUAUCAGAUUAGGUAGUUGGUGAGGUAAAGGCUCACCAAGCCGACGAUCUGUAGCUGGUCUGAGAGGACGACCAGCCACACUGGGACUGAGACACGGCCCAGACUCCUACGGGAGGCAGCAGUGGGGAAUUUUGGACAAUGGGGCGCAAGCCUGAUCCAGCAAUGCCGCGUGCAGGAUGAAGGCCUUCGGGUUGUAAACUGCUUUUGUACGGAACGAAACGGUGAGCUCUAAUACAGUUUGCUAAUGACGGUACCGUAAGAAUAAGCACCGGCUAACUACGUG